UACGUAGGUGGCAAGCGUUGUCCGGAUUUACUGGGUGUAAAGGGCGUGUAGGCGGAGCUGCAAGUCAGAUGUGAAAUCCCGGGGCUCAACCCCGGAACUGCAUUUGAAACUGUAGCCCUUGAGUAUCGGAGAGGCAGGCGGAAUUCCCAGUGUAGCGGUGAAAUGCGUAGAUAUUAGGAGGAACACCAGUGGCGAAGGCGGCCUGCUGGACGACAACUGACGCUGAGGCGCGAAAGCGUGGGGAGCAAACAGG
rnacentral:rRNA from 1 species